GGGGGGGGGGGGGCAGUUUACUUCAUUAUUGGAAUAUGAAGGAAUUGGAUAUGAAGGAACGAAAGUAAAAACGUCUGAAAAGGACCGCGGAGCCAUUUUUGGAUUAGGGAGGCUAUAGCGAACGCCGAAGGCGUGAGUUUGUUAGGGGAGUCCGGGGGCAUGCUGCCCGGAAAAUUUUGAAAUCUGAGACCUCCCAGAGCCCCGGAAAUGCAAUCAAAUUUACUAGUUGCUGUUAAAAAAUUUCUUCAUAUACGACUCUUAAUCUAAUAUUACCCAUCAUUUGUUUAAUCGAACCAGAAAUAGAUUGAAUACUUGGCUAUAUAAGUUAUAAAUAUAUUGUUAACUAAUCUGAAAGAUUCCAGUAUUCUUAGUUUAUAAAAAUCACAUAUG